rnacentral:rRNA from 1 species
AGCGUACACGGUGGAUGCCCUGGCAGUCAGAGGCGAUGAAGGACGUGCUAAUCUGCGAUAAGCGUCGGUAAGGUGAUAUGAACCGUUAUAACCGGCGAUUUCCGAAUGGGGAAACCCAGUGUGUUUCGACACACUAUCAUUAACUGAAUCCAUAGGUUAAUGAGGCGAACCGGGGGAACUGAAACAUCUAAGUACCCCGAGGAAAAGAAAUCAACCGAGAUUCCCCCAGUAGCGGCGAGCGAACGGGGAGCAGCCCAGAGUCUGAAUCAGUGUGUGUGUUAGUGGAAGCGUCUGGAAAGGCGCGCGAUACAGGGUGACAGCCCCGUACACAAAAAUGCACAUGCUGUGAGCUCGAUGAGUAGGGCGGGACACGUGGUAUCCUGUCUGAAUAUGGGGGGACCAUCCUCCAAGGCUAAAUACUCCUGACUGACCGAUAGUGAACCAGUACCGUGAGGGAAAGGCGAAAAGAACCCCGGCGAGGGGAGUGAAAAAGAACCUGAAACCGUGUACGUACAAGCAGUGGGAGCACGCUUAGGCGUGUGACUGCGUACCUUUUGUAUAAUGGGUCAGCGACUUAUAUUCUGUAGCAAGGUUAACCGAAUAGGGGAGCCGAAGGGAAACCGAGUCUUAACUGGGCGUUAAGUUGCAGGGUAUAGACCCGAAACCCGGUGAUCUAGCCAUGGGCAGGUUGAAGGUUGGGUAACACUAACUGGAGGACCGAACCGACUAAUGUUGAAAAAUUAGCGGAUGACUUGUGGCUGGGGGUGAAAGGCCAAUCAAACCGGGAGAUAGCUGGUUCUCCCCGAAAGCUAUUUAGGUAGCGCCUCGUGAAUUCAUCUCCGGGGGUAGAGCACUGUUUCGGCAAGGGGGUCAUCCCGACUUACCAACCCGAUGCAAACUGCGAAUACCGGAGAAUGUUAUCACGGGAGACACACGGCGGGUGCUAACGUCCGUCGUGAAGAGGGAAACAACCCAGACCGCCAGCUAAGGUCCCAAAGUCAUGGUUAAGUGGGAAACGAUGUGGGAAGGCCCAGACAGCCAGGAUGUUGGCUUAGAAGCAGCCAUCAUUUAAAGAAAGCGUAAUAGCUCACUGGUCGAGUCGGCCUGCGCGGAAGAUGUAACGGGGCUAAACCAUGCACCGAAGCUGCGGCAGCGACGCUGAUGCGUUGUUGGGUAGGGGAGCGUUCUGUAAGCCUGCGAAGGUGUGCUGUGAGGCAUGCUGGAGGUAUCAGAAGUGCGAAUGCUGACAUAAGUAACGAUAAAGCGGGUGAAAAGCCCGCUCGCCGGAAGACCAAGGGUUCCUGUCCAACGUUAAUCGGGGCAGGGUGAGUCGACCCCUAAGGCGAGGCCGAAAGGCGUAGUCGAUGGGAAACAGGUUAAUAUUCCUGUACUUGGUGUUACUGCGAAGGGGGGACGGAGAAGGCUAUGUUGGCCGGGCGACGGUUGUCCCGGUUUAAGCGUGUAGGCUGGUUUUCCAGGCAAAUCCGGAAAAUCAAGGCUGAGGCGUGAUGACGAGGCACUACGGUGCUGAAGCAACAAAUGCCCUGCUUCCAGGAAAAGCCUCUAAGCAUCAGGUAACAUCAAAUCGUACCCCAAACCGACACAGGUGGUCAGGUAGAGAAUACCAAGGCGCUUGAGAGAACUCGGGUGAAGGAACUAGGCAAAAUGGUGCCGUAACUUCGGGAGAAGGCACGCUGAUAUGUAGGUGAAGUCCCUCGCGGAUGGAGCUGAAAUCAGUCGAAGAUACCAGCUGGCUGCAACUGUUUAUUAAAAACACAGCACUGUGCAAACACGAAAGUGGACGUAUACGGUGUGACGCCUGCCCGGUGCCGGAAGGUUAAUUGAUGGGGUUAGCGGUAACGCGAAGCUCUUGAUCGAAGCCCCGGUAAACGGCGGCCGUAACUAUAACGGUCCUAAGGUAGCGAAAUUCCUUGUCGGGUAAGUUCCGACCUGCACGAAUGGCGUAAUGAUGGCCAGGCUGUCUCCACCCGAGACUCAGUGAAAUUGAACUCGCUGUGAAGAUGCAGUGUACCCGCGGCAAGACGGAAAGACCCCGUGAACCUUUACUAUAGCUUGACACUGAACAUUGAGCCUUGAUGUGUAGGAUAGGUGGGAGGCUUUGAAGUGUGGACGCCAGUCUGCAUGGAGCCGACCUUGAAAUACCACCCUUUAAUGUUUGAUGUUCUAACGUUGACCCGUAAUCCGGGUUGCGGACAGUGUCUGGUGGGUAGUUUGACUGGGGCGGUCUCCUCCUAAAGAGUAACGGAGGAGCACGAAGGUUGGCUAAUCCUGGUCGGACAUCAGGAGGUUAGUGCAAUGGCAUAAGCCAGCUUGACUGCGAGCGUGACGGCGCGAGCAGGUGCGAAAGCAGGUCAUAGUGAUCCGGUGGUUCUGAAUGGAAGGGCCAUCGCUCAACGGAUAAAAGGUACUCCGGGGAUAACAGGCUGAUACCGCCCAAGAGUUCAUAUCGACGGCGGUGUUUGGCACCUCGAUGUCGGCUCAUCACAUCCUGGGGCUGAAGUAGGUCCCAAGGGUAUGGCUGUUCGCCAUUUAAAGUGGUACGCGAGCUGGGUUUAGAACGUCGUGAGACAGUUCGGUCCCUAUCUGCCGUGGGCGCUGGAGAACUGAGGGGGGCUGCUCCUAGUACGAGAGGACCGGAGUGGACGCAUCACUGGUGUUCGGGUUGUCAUGCCAAUGGCACUGCCCGGUAGCUAAAUGCGGAAGAGAUAAGUGCUGAAAGCAUCUAAGCACGAAACUUGCCCCGAGAUGAGUUCUCCCUGACUCCUUGA